rnacentral:rRNA from 1 species
AUUGAACGCUGGCGGCAGGCUUAACACAUGCAAGUCGAACGGUAACAGGAAGAAAGCUUGCUUUCUUUGCUGACGAGUGGCGGACGGGUGAGUAAUGCUUGGGAAUCUGGCUUAUGGAGGGGGAUAACUACGGGAAACUGUAGCUAAUACCGCGUAAUAUCGAGAGAUUAAAGGGUGGGACCGCAAGGCCACCUGCCAUGAGAUGAGCCCAAGUGGGAUUAGGUAGUUGGUGGGGUAAAGGCCUACCAAGCCGACGAUCUCUAGCUGGUCUGAGAGGAUGACCAGCCACACCGGGACUGAGACACGGCCCGGACUCCUACGGGAGGCAGCAGUGGGGAAUAUUGCGCAAUGGGGGCAACCCUGACGCAGCCAUGCCGCGUGAAUGAAGAAGGCCUUCGGGUUGUAAAGUUCUUUCGGUGACGAGGAAGGCGUGAUGUUUAAUAGGCAUCACGAUUGACGUUAAUCACAGAAGAAGCACCGGCUAACUCCGUGCCAGCAGCCGCGGUAAUACGGAGGGUGCGAGCGUUAAUCGGAAUAACUGGGCGUAAAGGGCACGCAGGCGGCUAUUUAAGUGAGGUGUGAAAUCCCCGGGCUUAACCUGGGAAUUGCAUUUCAGACUGGGUAGCUAGAGUACUUUAGGGAGGGGUAGAAUUCCACGUGUAGCGGUGAAAUGCGUAGAGAUGUGGAGGAAUACCGAAGGCGAAGGCAGCCCCUUGGGAAUGUACUGACGCUCAUGUGCGAAAGCGUGGGGAGCAAACAGG